GACGAACGCUGGCGGCGUGCCUAAUACAUGCAAGUAGAACGCACAGUUUAUACCGUAGCUUGCUACACCAUAGACUGUGAGUUGCGAACGGGUGAGUAACGCGUAGGUAACCUGCCUGGUAGCGGGGGAUAACUAUUGGAAACGAUAGCUAAUACCGCAUAAUAUUAAUUAUUGCAUGAUAAUUGAUUAAAAGGUGCAAUUGCACCACUACCAGAUGGACCUGCGUUGUAUUAGCUAGUAGGUGAGGUAGCGGCCCACCUAGGCGACGAUACAUAGCCGACCUGAGAGGGUGAUCGGCCACACUGGGACUGAGACACGGCCCAGACUCCUACGGGAGGCAGCAGUAGGGAAUCUUCGGCAAUGGGGGCAACCCUGACCGAGCAACGCCGCGUGAGUGAAGAAGGUUUUCGGAUCGUAAAGCUCUGUUGUAAGAGAAGAACGGGUGUGAGAGUGGAAAGUUCACACUGUGACGGUAUCUCACCAGAAAGGGACGGCUAACUACGUGC
rnacentral:rRNA from 1 species